UGGUAGAAUUGCACUAGAGUGAUUUGUUGAUUUUUGGACAUCAAAUCACUUCAGUGCAGUUCUCUCAC
ncrna:Branchiostoma floridae (Florida lancelet) microRNA bfl-mir-2076 precursor